GGAGGAGGGCCCGGGGGCGGGCAGGGAAAUGGCGGGGGGCGGCGGGGCCGGGGGAGAGGUACCUGCCCGCGGGAGAGGCGCCGGGAAACGGGGCCGGGGGCUCGAGCAGCAGCCGCGCACCGCAGCAGAGGCGCCUGCGGCAGCGGAGGGAGACGGGGAAGCGACCGGGGAGGGCCGGCAGCGGGGGACAGCCCGGGGGCGAGGGCAGCUGUGUGGUACCGACCGGACCCUGUGGUACCGGGCCCUCCGGCCCCGCUCGUCCCUCAGGGCAGCGCUCGGAGGGUAAGGACGUCAGUGAGACCAAGCGAUAGAGCUGGGAGCGAGAUCGUGUUCAGGUCUGACCUCCUGCUGUGAAGAUUUGUGAGCCCAAAAGCUCCUCUGUAGAGCAGCUGUAUUAUUUGGUCCAGCAAAAGCUCUUAUCUCUCCCUAGAAAGCUUGCCUCGCCUUAGAUCAUCACCUAACAACAACAGUGUGACUGCUUUUUCCUUUGAAGGUCUGCAUUGAUUUUUGCUGACAGCAAAAUAGCGGGCUACUCACAUUCUAUCCUGAGGAGCAAAUUUGGGGUUUUGUAAAGCGUGUUUAUUGUUAGUCCACUCAAAUCAUCUAAUGCUGAUUUCUUGAAAAAAAAAAAAAAGUAAAGAUUGGAACGGUUAAAAAAGGUUCUGGCUCUCCAACACCAAGGGUCUUCCCCUCUGCUACACAGCCCCGCUUUUGGAGAGGUACAGAUGCCAGUGUCCUCAUCUUGGAGCAUGCCUGAGGCAUCUAGUCACGCUUCUCCUAGAGGAUGCUACAGCCUUUUUUGCUCCAUUUUGGCAUGUUCUGCUUUCCAGCCUCCAUCUCUACUUACCCCUCUUCUGGCAGGCACCAGGACUUUCCCUGUUGUAUGCAGUAAGCACUGGGCUUGCACACCAAGACAUUUGAGUUGGUUCCCACAUGGCCCCUUUCCACUCCUCUCCGUUCUUCACUAGGUGUCGGAGCUCACCUGCGCCCAUGUACCAGGCAUGAGGCUGAUCCCCACAAUUCACAGGGAGAGAAUGAAAGGAAGCAAACAAACAAAAGCUUCUUUACACAUUUCAAAGGGCAGAU